GCUAUCCUACGGGACGCAGCAGUGGGGAAUUUUGGACAAUGGGCGCAAGCCUGAUCCAGCUAUUCCGCGUGUGGGAUGAAGGCCCUCGGGUUGUAAACCACUUUUGUAGAGAACGAAAAGACACCUUUUAAUAAAGGGUGUUGCUGACGGUACUCUAAGAAUAAGCACCGGCUAACUACGUGCCAGCAGCCGCGGUAAUACGUAGGGUGCGAGCGUUAAUCGGAAUUACUGGGCGUAAAGGGCGCGCAGGCGGUUUAGUAAGACAGAUGUGAAAUCCCCGAGCUUAACUCGGGAAUGGCAUAUGG
rnacentral:rRNA from 1 species